GACGUCGUGUGUUGCAAAUCCAUUUGAUUCAGGUCCUUGAGAUCCUUCGGUCUUUACAAUGACUGCCCUCUUCAGUGCAAACCACAGUUUUUCCAUGGGUUCAUCUCAGUUCACAGACGGAGAUGAAUAUUGCUAAAUGACAAUUUUGUGUCCGUCAUGAAGAAAAGAUCACACUCGCUGCAAAAAUCCGAAAUCAGGAUACUCGGCAAGAGGUAGCGUUGCGCCUUCAAAUAAUGGAUUGUUGAAAAAAAAUUAUACUUAAGAAGGUCUUAAAGGAUAAGGAUUUUUGCUGGCUUAUUGGCACUGCACCCAUCUUAUGGAAGCUGCUAGAGACUGAUGAGAAAAUGAAUGCUCGGCUGUUCCCCACCUCCCUACAUGUAUUCC
ensembl:lncRNA